GGGAUUCACCCUGUGUAAACAGGAAUAGGUGCAUCACCGGUCACUGAGCUGGCAAGCUAAAGUUAGCUAGUUAGUCAUAGAAAUGUAGUUCAGCCUGUUAAUUAUUUCAGUCCGAUUUGACUUAUCUUACGAAGUCCGCAUGGCUUAACAGUUUCUUUCGUUUUUGACCUCGACGUUGUUGCUGGAUAGAUACUUUCAUAUCUAACAUGCUGGCGAUGCUAGCCAGCUAACCUCAUAUCUGGAUGCCUCACUCUAGUUCCCGAUAGAGCAGCAUACUGAUCUGCCAACCUGCUCGGUGGGUGACAGGUAACCGUCUUUCCACCAAGCUGUUCCAGGCCUGGAGUGGCACGUUGGUACUUCCAGAGGCUUGUAGACCUGAAGCGGUGUGAUGUGGUCCAGAUCUGACACCCCUAUUAGCUCAACCACAGUCUUCACAGCUGCAGUCGUCUGCAUCUGAUACACCGGCCACGACAGGUGAUACAGUAUUUAAUUUACCGGCUGCACCAGUUCCUACUACACUGGCCGUGAGGGGAGACAUUUUUGAGAAUUCCCAGAUGGAUCCAGGUAAUUCAGAAAUAUAUUGCAUAUGCUCACCCACACCAACAGAUGUACACACAGACAUGUUGUUGAGCUGUAUACUUACUGUCACUUUGUGCAUCUCUUUCAGAUCUGCCAUGCACUCCACCACUGCCUGACAACCUCACCCAGAAGUGCAUACACUGGGCCUUUCAAGACUGACAAAGCAGAGAUGGGUGGCUGACAAGGAAAAAUAAAACAACAUACACACACACACACUCACAUACUUUAUCCACAAAGUAAAUAAGUUGUAAUUGCUUGUAAAUGUAAUGUUUGCUCCAUUUUAUUUUAGGAUUGGAGAUAUCUACUCCUAUAUAUCCAUUAUCAAUGUCUGCAUAUUUACUCUAAAUAUCUAUCAAAUCAAAGUGUGAUUGAUAAUAUUAUAAAAGACUGUGUACAGUUUUAGGAAAUUCUGUGUACUUUUUUCUGAGCUGAAAAACAUGCCUCCCUCUCACACAGACACACACUACACCCAAUGUAAAUAAAUUGUAAUAACUUGUUUAUUUUAUGUAUGCUCCAUUUUAUUUGAGGAAAAUAUCUGUAAUAAAGUACAUUCACAGUUAAAGUAAUGUUUUUGGUUUAUUGGAUAUUUCUCCUAAUACAAUGUGUGACCAGAAGGAAGUCGGCAGACCUACAACCCUUGGACUGCAGGUUUUGUCACAUGAAGCUGAAAAAUGGAGAGAUGGGGAGUUGAAAGGUUCAUCAUUAAUAACUGACACAAUUCUAUAAUGAAUACAUAUUAUAAUAAUAAUAGAGUGACCAACUAUUGUGAUUGUUUUAUUUACUCAAUCAAGUCGUGCCCCAAGGAGGGAUUGCCUGUGUCUCAAAAACAGCAGAAAAGGUCAAAUAAGGUCACCAAAAUUUAUGUUACGGCUAUACACGACUGGCCGCAGCGCAUGAAACUGGCAUUAUUUAGCUAAAUAGCCCAGCACUGUAGCCUACCCCCGACCGUCACGUUGUACAGCGCCAUAUUUUCCGUUCCAUCCUAACAGAGACACAGAGGGUUUUUCAUUUUUAUUGGAGUAGAAACACCAUUAUAUUAAUCAAAUUAAUUAAGCAAGUACCAGUCAAAAGUUUGGACACGCC